CUGAAGGAAAGGUGUAUCAAAAAAGGUUGCUGGAUGGUGUGAAGACUCUUAAAAGAGGAAAGGUUGAUAUGAAUAGCCUGGACACAUUUCUGGAAAAUAUGGGGAUUAAGCUCUCACAUAAAGAACUUGAAGAUUUUUCGCAAAACCUACCAGUUGAUGUUGAUGGGAAGGUUGAUCUGGAAAAUGUGACACUGAAAAUGAAAGAUUUUACAGG